UACAGAGGUCUCAAGCGUUGUUCGGAUUCAUUGGGCGUAAAGGGUGCGUAGGUGGCGCCAUAAGUCGGGUGUGAAAUCUCGGGGCUUAACUCCGAAACUGCAUUCGAUACUGUGGUGCUUGAGGACUGGAGAGGAGACUGGAAUUCAUGGUGUAGCAGUGAAAUGCGUAGAGAUCAUGAGGAAGACCAGUGGCGAAGGCGGGUCUCUGGACAGUUCCUGACGCUGAGGCACGAAGGCCAGGGGAGCAAACGGG
rnacentral:rRNA from 1 species